GGAAGGGUGGCUGAGAGGCCGAAAGCAGCACACUGCUAAUGUGUUGAGCUCGAAAGGGCUCCGUGGGUUCGAAUCCCACCCCUUCCG
rfam:Candidatus Portnoybacteria bacterium RBG_19FT_COMBO_36_7 RBG_13_scaffold_59, whole genome shotgun sequence.